rnacentral:rRNA from 1 species
CUCGUAGGCGGUUCGUCGCGUCCGGUGUGAAAGUCCAUCGCUUAAUGGUGGAUCUGCGCCGGGUACGGGCGGGCUGGAGUGCGGUAGGGGAGACUGGAAUUCCCGGUGUAACGGUGGAAUGUGUAGAUAUCGGGAAGAACACCAAUGGCGAAGGCAGGUCUCUGGGCCGUUACUGACGCUGAGGAGCGAAAGCGUGGGGAGCGAACA